ensembl:lncRNA
GCCUCCGGAGCGACGACCUCGACCUCCCGCCGGGAGGACCCACGCAGAUGGUGUCCCUGCGGCCCAACUCUUUGUGGCCACGCGGUGCGCCUGGCCACCUGGGACCUUCAGGGCUGCUCCAGUGAAAAGGCCAACAACCCUGGCGUCAAAGAGGUCGUGUGUACGCCCCUACUGGAGAACGAACAACUACAAGGAGUUGAUGGGGAAAAAAGAAGCCUUCCUCAAGGAUGAGGACAUCUGGCACAUGGCAGUUGCAAGAAGGACCACACCUUGUACCACAACACAUGAUGGAAGCAAACCAAAGAAAAAAAGAAUUACGGCAACUUCCAGUCUCACUUCAGAUGAUGAUGAAACACAGAUUGACCCAUCACGAGUUCUUCAAACAAAUAAGCCGAAGAUGACAAAGGCUGCAAGAGACCGAGCCCUUGCCCAACUGAAAUCCUCGCUGCUGAGAAGAAAGCAAACAACCUCCACCCCCUUGACAAAUGAAGACGAUACAGACAUAGACACCAAUGUGGACUUAUUUGACCCACCUCAGGCUUCGGGAUCAAGUGACCUCUCCCAAGGGGAAAGUGAAGAGGAGAGUGUCCUGAUGGAUCAGCCCAGAUCCAGUGUUGGCAUGCAACAGGAAGUGAUGGAUGCUCUGAAAGAAAUACCAGCCUUAGUCAAGUGUGUCAAAGAUCUUAUUGCAACCAUGAAGAGAAUGCCACCUGUCAUGGACACUGACAGUACAUGUUCUGGCUCUUCCAGUCCAGCUCCAGAAAUGAUUUCCCUUGGCAACAAGGGGGUGCAGGUCAGCAAAACCUGUUUCAAAAGACUCAACCGAACAAGAAUGUCCCUGUUCACACAGGACUUAGCUGUGCUCCUCUUUGGGCGGGAUGUUUUGGCAUCCUCGACUCUCACAGGAAAACCAGGGCUUACUGGAACAGUGAAAGAGCAGUUAAAUCCGGAAAAGCUGAGUGCCCUUGUUGAUACAGUUAUUGCUGAAUUUCCAGGAACAAAUGUGUCUGAUGUGAGGGCAGUGAUUCAGAGAAAAUGUAACAAUGAGAAUUUUGUGAGCAAAAAGAAACAGUAAGCAGUAAAUCAGUAACUGUUUGUAAUAAUUUCUUGUUUGUUUUUUCUUUGGUGGACAUACAUUUUGAGUUUAAACAAACUGUGUAAAAGUUUAAACAAUCUGUCCACCUAUGUAAAAGUUUCAACAGUCUGUUUAAUGUUUAAUGUUUUUUAAUGUUUUCAAAAGUCAGUUUCAGUUUAAUGUUCAUCCCUGUCAUUACUAGCAAUGGUACGAUGAAGAGAAACAGUUUGAAAAUGUUGUUAAAGAUGUAUUUUGUACCCUGUCAUGCCGUGCAUGUUAAAAAUAAACGUUAUUUCUACCUCAA